CGGCAACAGCUCAAAUUUGAAAUCUGGCUUAUGCCCGAGUUGUAAUUUGUAGAGGAUGCUUUUGGCGCGGCGCCUUCUGAGUUCCCUGGAAUGGGACGCCAAAGAGGGUGAGAGCCCCGUAUAGUUGAACGCUAAGCCUUUGUAAAGCUCCUUCGAC
rnacentral:rRNA from 1 species